rnacentral:rRNA from 1 species
AUUGAACGCUGGCGGCAUGCUUUACACAUGCAAGUCGAACGGUAACGCGGGGCAACCUGGCGACGAGUGGCGAACGGGUGAGUAAUGCAUCGGAACGUGCCCGGUAGUGGGGGAUAACUGCUCGAAAGAGCAGCUAAUACCGCAUACGACCUGAGGGUGAAAGGGGGGGAUCGCAAGACCUCUCGCUAUUGGAGCGGCCGAUGUCGGAUUAGCUAGUUGGUGGGGUAAGGGCCCACCAAGGCGACGAUCCGUAGCUGGUCUGAGAGGACGACCAGCCACACUGGGACUGAGACACGGCCCAGACUCCUACGGGAGGCAGCAGUGGGGAAUUUUGGACAAUGGACGCAAGUCUGAUCCAGCCAUGCCGCGUGCGGGAAGAAGGCCUUCGGGUUGUAAACCGCUUUUGUCAGAGAAGAAACGCUCUGGGUUAAUACCUCGGGGUAAUGACGGUACCUGAAGAAUAAGCACCGGCUAACUACGUGCCAGCAGCCGCAGUAAUAC